rnacentral:misc_RNA from 1 species
CUGAUUAAGGAAUUUACACUAAUUCAGGGAUUUUAACAAAUAUAUCUCCAUAGCAACAUUUUCAACCAAAAACAGUGAAAUGCAAAGUGUAAUUUAGCUUUGUACUAGAGUUGUCUCUAGGGUAGCGAGGUCUCGUGUUUGGUCCCAGUCGGAGCCAAUUAUAUAACGAAAAAAUAUUUUCUACCAUUUUCAUUCUUAUGCAUUUCCAUUUCAAUCAAAGAGAUUGAAAGAAAGUGUUUUUCUUGUUUUUAUCACUGCUCUUCUAUUUCCUCUCCUUUCCUUUCAUUAUGGCCCUCCAGUUUUCCUAAACACAAUGUUUGUGAUUUAAGUGAAGAUGUUAUUCAAUGUAAAUCAUUUUUGAAGGUUGUAUGCAUGACAAAAGUCUGUAGUUUUUCAUAGCUAUUUUUUCAUGCGCUGCUUUCUAAACUGAUACUUAUAAAACUGGCCAUCGACAUUUAGGCAGAGCAGUUUGCCCUUUCUCAAGAUAAAAAGGAGGAAAGUUGCAGUAGGUGACA